rnacentral:rRNA from 1 species
AACGAACGCUGGCGGCAUGCCUAACACAUGCAAGUCGAACGGGACCUUCGGGUCUAGUGGCGCACGGGUGCGUAACGCGGGGGAACCUGCCCUUAGGUUCGGAAUAACUCCCCGAAAGGGGUGCUAAUACCGGAUAAUGUCUUCGGACCAAGGAUUUAUCGCCUUUGGAUGGGGCCGCGUUGGAUUAGCUAGUUGGUAGGGUAAAAGCCUACCAAGGCGACGAUCCAUAGCUGGUGUGAGAGGAUGAUCAGCGACACUGGGACUGAGACACGGCUCAGACUGCUGCGAGAGGCAGCAGUGGGUAAUAAUGGACAGUGGGCGAAAGCCUGAUUCAGCAAUGCCGCGUGAGUGAUGAAGGCCUUAGGGUUGUAAAGCUCUUUUACCCGGGAUGAUAAUGACAGUACCGGUAGAAUAAGCCCCGGCUAACUCCGU